CUGCCACCAACCAACUCCUCCCUGGUAAAUCACUUAGUCUCAGUCAGGUUCUUAAGUUAACAACGAAGAGUGUAGUUUAUUGCAGACACAAAUAAACUUUAACUGCAUUCAAAAUGAUGUUACUCUUUACCUUCUUAGUCUUAUUUUAUCCUGUCUCUAACUCUUCCACCUCCCCUCACACAAGAACCAACUGCACUAACUGUCUCUCUAUUUCCAUCUGUCUGCCAACUGCUUUCCCAACUGCCUUUCCCAACCAAGCAACCAACCCAAACCUCAGGCUAAGCCCUUUUAUAAACAGGUAGGCUCCGCCUCUGGCUUUUCUAUUGGUCUACCUAUUAACUCUUUCUCUCCCCCUGUACAGACAUUUUCAAACAAACGGGCAAACGCCACAGCUACUCUCACCUAAUUUAGCCAGCCAUUUCCUGGGUGUGGUUGCUGUCGCAUGCUGACAGCUUCUAGGAGCCACAGGUGAGAGAUCUUUGGUGGGGACACCAAAAAGAACAACAUCACUGGAACUAUGGGGCGGGGUCUAACAAAUUGUUUCACAACUAUUAACACAGCCAUCUGUCAUGGAGGCUAUUGCUAAGAUUCCUGCAUUGCAGGGGGUUGGCCUAGAUUACCCUUGGGGGUCCCUUCGAACUCUAUGAUUAUUAUAUUUUUAAUUAAAGAUUUUCUUGAUUUACAAAAGUUUGUGCAAUGUCUCUCUUUCAUAUUUUUCCCCCCAUGUAACAUUUUUACAAAUCAGUUUAUUUUGUUGAGACAUUAGGAAGAAAAGGGGGAAAGAGGUGGGGGGGAGAUGGGGAGUUGGGUGGCAAUGUUUCUAUUUUACUUACUUCAUGUAGGGUUUGGUGUCAGCGUUACUUGUGCAGGUUCUUUGCUGUUCACUUGUGUUCCUUUGGUGGUGAGAGAGGUUGGGGUUGGCCUAGGGUGUGGUAAUUCAUUUGUGGUUGGCUGUGGUGGUCUUUGUUUUCAUGUGUGAGUGGGGUGUGUGUGCGUUUUGGGUCAGGUUAGCCAUACUGAUUUGUAUGCUGUUGGUGGAUUUUUGUCGUUGUCUUGUUGGGCUGUGUAUGUGAUAAAGGGGAGCCGUAACGGGGUGAAGGUGUCUUCUUCUAUUUGUCCCCGUGUCAGUUUCAGUUUAUUGGUUAAUUUUUCUGGUAGGGCUGUUUUCCAUACAAUUUGGUAUCAUUCUGUAUACCUGAAGGAGCGUCUCCACCCCCAUCGUUCAGACCGGACACUGAGAUCCAGCGCCGAGGGCCUUCUGGUGGUUCCCUCAUUGUGAGAAGUGAGGUUACAGGGAACCAGGCAGAGGGCCUUCUGAGUAGUGGCGUCCACCCUGUGGAACGCCCUCCCAUCGGAUGUCAAGGAAAUAAGCAGCUAUCGUAUCUUUAAAAGACAUCUGAAGGCAGCCCUGUUUAGGGAAGUUUUUAAUAUUUAAUGCUGUAUUGUUCUUAACACUCGAUUGGAAGCCGCCCAGAGUGGCUGGGGAAACUCAGCCAGAUGGGUGGGGUAUAAAUAUAAAUAAAUAAUACCACUACACGAAGAAACCUACCAAUCAUAACACACAGCAUUAAACAAAAUAUAAUGGGUGCAAUCUGCAAGAGCAAAGAACAGCUGCAGGAAGUUCUGCAAGGAGGGAAAACAAGGUGGGAUUACCACUCUUCCUUCUGGAAGUCACACACUCUCUUCGGAAAAGGUGUUAAUUGUUGCAGCAAAGGAUCGUGAAACAGCUGGAAUAUCCUAGAGAGUCCACUAGUUUUGCCGCUCUGAGAUCUUCCCAGGCUCUUCAUAAGUUUGCUGCUGUGCUGACACUGCUGGGGGAGGAGGAAGGAUGCUUCUGGUUCAAGCCUGUUCACUAUUUUCCAAGGUUGCCACCCACCUCUGUGCAGGAGAGCCAGUGGUCAACUAAGAAGGGGACCAUAUUGAAUUCCAACAAUUUCCCUUCCCGCAGUUACAGAAUUAAUAUUAAAGGAAACUUGAGCGACUCAGAGGGGAAAGGCAUUUGGAUCUGAACCAAAUUCUUUUGUUAUUACUCAGAUCGGUUUAAUUCCGGAUUGCUAAUAUCUGGGAGGAAUUAAGCCUCUGAUGAAACUGCCGUUGACUCACCUAAGAACAAUAAUUCAUUCAACUCGAUUCAGCUUCCCCUCCCGGCUUUCCCUCGGGAAGUCUUCACCCUCUUCUCAGCUUUGUUAGAUAAGGGGCUGUGGUUGCUUGAAGCUCUUUUGACAGUGUUGGCAAAGUGUUGAAAUAUUGUGCAGGCCUUCUAGUCUCAUUGAUCCUACCUGUUCCUGUCGUUGCAUUAAACUGCCCUCACAUGAAUUAAGGAAAACGACACGAGGCACUGAAUUCAAUACCCAGAAAGGUUUGCCUCCUCUUUGCGGUGCAUACCCUCCAACAUUUCUCCAGUGAAAAUGGGGGUGUCCCAUUCCUAAUACAGUGGUACCUCGGCUUACAUACGCUUCAGGUUACAUACGCUAACCCAGAAAUAAUACCUCAGGUAACCCAGAAAUAAUACCUCAGGUUAAGAACUUUGCUUCAGGAUGAAGUGGUACCUCAGGUUACAGAUGCUUCAGGUUACAGACUCCGUUAACCCAGAAAUAGCACCUGGGGUUAAGAACUUUGCUUCAGAAUGAGAACAGAAAUCGCGUGGCAGAGGGAGGCCCCAUUAGCUAAAGUGGUGCUUCAGGUUAAGUACUGUUUCAGGUUAAGGACAGACCUCCGGAACGAAUUAAGUACUUAACCCGAGGUACCACUGUAAUAAUAAUUUUAUUAUUUAUACCCCACCCCUCUGACUGGGUUGCCCCAGACACUCUGGGCAGUUUCCAUCAUACAGUGGUACCUUAGGUUAAGUACUUAAUUCAUUCCAGAGGUACAUUCUUAAACUGAAACUGUUCUUAACCUGAGGUCCCACUUUAGCUAAUGGGGCCUCCCACUGCCGCCUGGGCCAUCAGAGCACGAUCUCUGUUCUCAUCAAAUCAAAAUGUUUAUUCGGCUUUACGCCCAUCAUAAAACACAACACACAAAACAAAUCAAGUAAAACAGCGGUCUCGUACAAGCCACAAGUAAUAUAACACAAUUCACAGCUCACAAGGACAAAUAUUGGCAAAUCAAAACAGAAAUUUAAGAUUAAAGUUAAAAAUUUAGGCACUACACUAAAAUCAAUAUCUGAUGUCAAUAUCAAAAAUUCUUAUAACUAUCAAUAAUCAGCUAACAUUCCAUUCCGUCUCUUGUACGAGAGAACGGCUGUUAGGAAUUUAGCAACCUGUAGAGUAAUAUGAGGAUCUACAUCUUGAAGAACCCAGGCAAGCUGUAGGUCUACUGGUUUGUCAGCCAUAGGCUGGAUUAUGGAGUUUAGUAUACUAGCACGAGCUGAACUGUACAUAGGGCAGAUAAACAUAACAUGAUGUAAAGAUUCAGAUGUUUUCAUUUCACAAGCACACAUUGAAGGGACUUGGCCCUUAGUGAAUCUAUGUCUCAGGACGUUUGUUGGAAAAACAUUGAACCUGGCUCUAAUGAAGGCAUAUCGGUGUGACGCGGCUAUAAGCGAUGUUAAGUAGGACGGAGCACGAUAGAUAGGGGUUAUGCCGAGAUUUAAUGGCGAGCAGGCUCCACCACCAGCUAAGAAAUUUUGGUAUAGCUCCACAUCAUCCAGCCUUUGAUUUAUACACCUUUUUGCCGCGUUUAGAUCCAGUUUGAGCAAUUCCGUGGGCGAGAUCUCAUAGGACAGCAAUUUGGCAUGGAUUUUUCCUGACCACAAAUUUGUGAAGUCAUCCCGCCACAUGUAUUGAAUGAGAUAGUGGUUCGGUAGAUUAUGCCAUAGGGAUAUCCAAUAAAUCAAAACUCUCCUCCAUAAAACUAACUCCACUGAGGGGAUCUUCAUUUCUAAGCGAAUAGCCGCAUUACUUACGCAUGUUGGUAGUUUUAAAAGUCGGCGUAAGAAUUGGCUUUGAAGCGACUCUAAAGGUGAGAGGUUUGCAAAGGCAGCCCAUAAAGGUGCAGCAUAGGCCAUUGUGGCCAUCACUUUGAUGCUAUACACUUUCAAGGCCGCAGGGAUGAAUAAGGCCCCCUCAGAGUAGAAAAAACGAAGGAGGGAGUGUGAUAGGGCUUUGUCUUGUUUUGAAGAUAUUCAACGUGCGCUUUCCACCCUAAAUUAUAUUGAAAAUAAAUUCCUAAAUAUUUAAAUUUAUGUACUUGUUCGAUUUUCUUGCCCUCCAAUUUCCAUGAAUAUAAUUUUCGACUCCUUGAAAAUAUCAGUACUUUGGACUUGGUGUGGUUGAUAGACAGAUGAUUAGAAUGGCAAUAUGAUGCAAAAAUCUUUAGUGCCCUCCUUAAACCCACUCUGGAGUAAGAGAGUAGUACCGCAUCAUCUGCGUAGAGAAGUAAAGGACAACGAUAAUCUGCUAUACGGGGGGAGUGGAUAAAUUUUUGUGAGUCGAUUAAUGGGUUCCUCAUAUCACUGAUAAAUAAGUUAAAAAGAACCAAAGUUCUUAACCUGAGGUACUAUUUCUGGGUUAGCAGAGUCUGUAACCUGAAGCGUAUGUAAUCUGAGGUACCACUGUAUAUGAAAACAUAGCAAAACAUUAAAAAUUUCAAAAACCUCCCUAUACAGUGGCAGCCUUCAGGUGUCUUCUAAAGGUUGUAUAGUUACUUAUCUCCUUGCCUCAGGAAGUCGCAUAACUCCAUAGCCUCCAACAUUUCUCUGAUGAAAAUAGGGAUGCCCUAGGGAAAAGGAGGACAUUCCAGGAUCAAAUCAGAAACUGGGACGGUUUCUGUAAAUCCAGAGCUGUCCCUGGAAAAUUGUGACACUUGGAGGGUCUGUGAGCGGGUUGGAACAAUAGUGUCACCCUAUUAUGGCAGUGGCAAGCUCAGGGGGGCUUUUGCCUUUGCUGUACCACAGGUGUGCACACAGCUUUGAGGCCAUCAUCAGCCUGGAGCAUCCCUGACCUCACUGCUGCCUAGUCCCACCCAUCCUGUCCUGGUGAGCAAUGGUUGCAGCUCCAAGAGGAUACCACUGCCAUCACAAACAUAUAUAUACGCGGAUCCCACUGUCGCUGGUGUACCAGUGGAAUGGGGAAACUGUUUACAGAUUUGUCAUCUGUAUGGGCUUGAUGUGGGUGACGCUGUGGUGUAAACCACUGAGCCUCUGGGCUUGCCGAUUGGAAGGUCAGCGGUUUGAUUCCCCACGACGGAGUGAGCUCCCGUUGCUCGUCCCAGCUUCUGCCUACCUAGCAGUCCGAAAGCACGUCAAAGUGCAAGUAGAUAAAUAGGUACCGCUCCGGUGGGAAGGUAAACGGCGUUUCCAUGCGCUGCUCUGGUUUUGCCAGAAGCAGCUUAGUCAUGCUGGCCACAUGACCUGGAAAAACUGUCUGCAGACAAAUGUCAGCUCCCUCGGCCAGUAAAGCGAGAUGAGCGCCGCAACCCCAGAGUCGUUCGCAACUGGACUUAACGGUCAGGGGUCCUUUACUUUUACCUUUUUAUGGGCUUUAUAGAUGACCCCUCUGACAUGAUGCUCACUGGUAGCUGCGUGUAUAACCGUUGCCCCUUUUUGGAAGGUUCUUAAAGGAGCUAAUUUAACAGCAUGCUGUAAAAGGUUUUGGCAGAUAGCCCUAACAGGGAAAGUUAAAUGUAAACAAAUAAUAGCUAGAGGAAAUAAGCACAGAGCCACAUUUGCAAGAGAUUGGUGGAGCUUUAUUGCUUAUGCAAGUAUUUCAGAUAACAGAAGGCAAGUCCUUAGGGUGUGCUCCAAUGUAUGGAUUUGUUAAAUGUUUCUUUUCUCUUUGUAUUAAUUCAAAUACUGCAUUUAUUAGAAAAUUUUCUGCAGGGUCUGCGUAUAGGAGACUCUUGGUAUUUUUGUUUCUGAUUUUGCCCGGUGGCUCACGCUCCAGAUUUUGUAAUGUCCUUUUUCUCUUCUGUUCAAUUUUUGAUGGGUUAUGUUUGUUGUGCAACUUAGGUAAUGAAAAGCAUUUGAAAUGUCUAUAUAUAAAAAAGUAAUGAGGAAACUGUAGCCACCACCCCCCAUGUUGUCAGAUAUCAACUCACAUCCUCCCUGAACAUUGACUAUGUUGGCAGAGGCUACUCAGAGUUGGAGUUCAUUCUUGCAGAAUGCCAGGCAUCAGGGGAGAGAAUUCUAACAUAGCCUUCUCUCUUAACAUAUAGUUUUCUAUCUGCUGUGAUUUGUUUCUUUGUUUUGUAAGAUGGGCAUUCAAUCAGUCUGAAGUGGCGUGAUCCAGAUACAGCUAUACCACCACAGUAGUGGAAUUCAUCUGAAGAUAUCAGAGUUUUCUGGAACUGAUUUUACUCAAAAAGGCUACGCACAUUACUUUUUCAGCAGCCUUGUGAAUAUUUGGAUUUUCUGCCUCUGGAAAACGAAAUGUCUAGUGAGAGACCACUGCUGAAAGGGGAGCUUAUAUAUUUCUUCAUUUAUUUCAUAUUCAUAUUCUCCAUUUGUUUCUCAAGUAAAUAAAUAGGUUAGCACAAGAAUUAUAAAACAGAAUAGGAAAGGAACUUCCUGAGCCCCCUCGUCUAGUAGCCAAAUGCACAAUAGCUAGAUAAAAAAUAGCAUGGGAAAAACAUUCAUAUUUUCUCCAAUGGGAGCUUCCCUCCCUCUGUGCAAAUAGCAGAUGUGGGGACCUGAUUUGUCUUGGGGUGGGGGCGGGGAGAGGCUUAAAACCCUCCCCACUUACACCAGGAUCCUGAUCUUCAUUGUGCCCAUUUUCUGUGAGAUAAAAAUCUUACACUCAAGAGCAAAACACAUGACUAACCUACCUUGUAGUCUGGCCUCAUUUACAAACUCUGUCUGAUCUGCAUUCACAAAGCUACUACAGUACUGGGAUUUAAGGGUGACGCUAAAGCAGUGGACAAGUUGAUGUCUUACUCUUGACAGGGCGGGGAAGGAAUAAGCAACCAAUGGAACUAGUCUAUCUUGGCAAAUGUACAGGAAAUUCUUGGAAAUGGGCAUGUUAGGAUCUGCAAAUGACCCCUGCAUGGUUAAGUCCAGUCAAAGGCAACUAUGGGGUUGCAGCGCUCAUCUCACUUUCAGGUUGGAGGAGCCAGCAUUUGUUCACAGACAGCUUUCCUGGUCAUGUGGCCAGCAGGACUAAACCGCUUCUGGCACAACGGGACACCGUGAUGGAAACCAGAGCGCACGGAAACACUGUUUACCUUCCUGCCGCAGCGGUACCUAUUUAUCUACUUGCACUGGCCUGCUUUUGAACUGCUAGGUUGGCAGGAGCUGCAACAGAGCAACGGGAGCUCACUCCGUUGCACAGAUUCGAACUGCUGACCUCCUGAUCAGCAAGCCCAAAAGGGUCAGUGGUUUAGACCACAGCGCCACCCUCACUACAGCUUGGAGUGGUUUCAGGCUAUUUUAGAAAUAACCACCAAGUAUUAUAAGCCUGAUGCAAGGUUUUUUCUGGAGUCCACUGCAGAUGAAACGACUUACCUUAAAUGGAUAGAAUAUUGCUAGUAAGAAAUAGUGGUUUAGUAGUUGGUGGUUCAAGCGCCCAUCUAUUUUCUCUGUGUCAGCAGCAGAGCUCUCUUUAGCUUACAGUGAGUACCUAAGUAGUUUAAAUGGUGCACAUGAAACCAAAUCCAAGACAGAGGGGAAAAAUCGCAGGAAAAUAAUAAUCAUAAUGCUAAGACCCCCCUGCUGUUCAGAAGCAUCUCUCUUUCCCUAAAGUAGGCUACAUAAAUAUUGAUCUUGACUUGGUGUGCCCUAGAUUCAUUUGCUCAGGCAUUAAUAAAUAUGCCGGAAAAUGAAAUCAAUCUGGUUUUCCUCCAAGUAAAUAUAUUCAGCUCUGAGUACACAAUGAAAGCUUGGCAGUCUUGGCACUUGAUUAUGUAACAAAAAUGGGUUAUUUGUAGCUACCCGAUAUUUAAAAGGCAUUUGCAUUGCUUCCGAUGCAAACAGUGUUAACCAUAUUCAAAUUGGGUUUCAGCCUGGUGGAGAGUGAAAUAUUUUCCUUCAUUGCCUCCACAUCUAUUCACUCUGUUUUCAAGAGGAUGGUCAUCCAGUAGUCUGUGGAUCAAAUCCGCAACCCCAAAGGAAUUUCGUUUGGCUUGUGGUAAGGUAAAGGACCCCUUACCAUUAGGUCCAGUCGUGACCGACUCUGGGGUUGCGGUGCUCAUCUCGCUUUAUUGGCCGAGGGAGCCGGCGUUUGUCCGCAGACAGCUUCCGGGUCAUGUGGCCAGCAUGACUAAGCCACUUCUGGCGAACCAGAGCAGCGCACGGAAACACCAUUUACCUUCCCGCUGGAGCAGUACCUAUUUAUCUACUUGCACUUUGUGCUUUUGAACUGCUAGGUUGGCAGGAGCAGGGACCGAGCAACGGGAGCUCACCCCGUCUUGGGGAUUCGAACUGCCGACUUUCUGAUCGGCAAGUCCUAGGCUCUGUGGUUUAACCCACAGCGCCACCCGUGUCCCCUUCCACCUAAUUUUAACCAAGGUGAAGAUAAAUGCUUCCCUGCCGUUUCACUCAUACAAAAAUGGGGUGGUGGUUGAACUGUCCCAUGUCCAUUUCAGAAUCUCUGUUUGGAUUUUAUACGCAAAGCCUCAACCCAUGCACUUUGUAAUUACAAAACCUGUUGUUAGAUCAGCCUAGUAAAUAAACCCACAAAAGUUACCAGUCUGCUGAGCUGGUGGAAGAAGAGGGGAGAACUCUGUCUCAGCUGCAGUAGCCUUCUUGUUGCUGCUGCUAUUGUAGUUGUUGUUGUUUUACUUGGUGAUGAUGACAGGCAGAGUACCUCAUCUCCCCUCCGCUAGAGUGCAUCGACACCGGAUUUAGGGUGAUGCAGGAAGUUUCCCGCACAGGGCACCAAGCCCAGGGGCGCAAAAUUGAGAAGAUCCAUUUGGGCGUGCAAACUUUGGCCUCGCACAGGGCACAAAUAUUUCAAAAGAUGACCAAAGUCCACCCCUGCCUGCAUGGAAUUCCAUGGACUCACCUGCAAGCAAUUUUCAGUCACCUCUGACUGCUAUGGCAGUGCUUAAGGCUGUGCUAGGUGGGUGCUAGGCAGGUGGCGCUAUGGUCUAAACAACUGAGCCUCUUGGGCUUGCUGAUCAGAAUGUCAGCGGUUCGAAUCCGCUUGAUGGGGUGAGCUCCCAUUGCUCUGUCCCAGCUUCUAUUCGAAAGCAUGCCAGUGCAAGUAGAUUAAUAGGUAGUGCUGCAGCAGGAAAGUAAACGGUGUUUCCAUGCGCUCUGGUUUCCGUCACAGUGUUCCAUUGUGCCAUAAGUGGUUUAGUCAUGCUGGCCACAUAACCUGGAAAGCUGUCUGUGGACAAACGCUGGCUUACUCAGCCUGAAGCGAGAUGAGCGCCGCAACCCCAUAGUCGCCUUUGACUGGACUUAAUUGUCCAGGGGUCCUUUACCUUUUUACCUUUACUACUCUUAUCCUAACACUCCUGACUGUGUUUCAAGUUGCAUCUUACGUUGCUGUACACAUCACUACCUGAUUUGUUUUCCUCACCUGUAUCCCCCCCCCAAAAUAUCCUAUUCGAUUAAGCUUUCAUCUGUGGAUUUGCAAUGGAUGCCUGAAAUGUACACACCUCUGCUUAUCUGCACCUUACCUUUUCAAAUUGGAUGGAAGCUGGUUUCAAGGAAAUCAUAUGAAUCUGCAGCAUUUCUCAAGAAAUUACAAAAAACUGAUGGAUUGUGUGGCUUCUGUCUGCUUGGAUUCAGACCCCAGUUUUGGGAGUGCACAACCUGUGUGUGUGUGUGUGUGUGUGUGAGAGAGAGAGAGAGAGAGAGAGAGAGAGAGAGAGAGAGAGAGACAGGGAGGAUUUUGAAAUGUUUUGCAAAAAGCUGGAGUCUUCUUGUCCAGCUCAUUUAUUUGCAGAGCUGUGGGCGAGUGCAAUGCCGUUCCAACUCUCAUUAGAUUACAAAUGGAAACGAAGCAAGCAAAGUGAUCUCCAGGGAAGGCUUCUCCUUUUGAUUAAAUAACCUAAUAAUUCAACACUACUCUCCUAACAGAUAGCAAUCUUUACUAUGCCUUUGUGUAGUGGGGGCAUUUGCAGGUAAUGUUGAAGAUUGUAUGUCUACAAGAAGGUGGCAGGCCUCUGUUUGCCCCGUACAGGAGGGCUAGCAUCUUGUGCUUUGAAGAAAGAAAUACUUUGCGACCAUAAAAUAAAAGUAAAUAAAUGUUUUCUGUUUGAAUGUUUGUGGAAAUCUGCAUAAACCUCCUUAGUAUAUAUCAUUCUGAUUUCACAAAUUUGCUUUCUCUGGCCAAUGUAUGUUUUGACUAGAGGCCUACGCACCUAGAUGUAGAUAAUUGCUAAUCGAGACAUGAAACUUCCUAAUCUCUGCAGUUCCUGGUUAUGUACAGCUCUCAUUUCUAGCUACAGUGGUACCUCGGGUUAAGAAUUUAAUUCGUUCCGGAGGUCUGUUCUUAACCUGAAACUGUUCUUAACCUGAGGUACCACUUUAGUUAAUGGGGCCUCCCGCUGCCGCCGUGUAAUUUCUCUUUCUCAUCCUGAAGCAAAGUUCUUAACCCGAGGUACUAUUUCUGGGUUAGCGGAGUCUGUAACCUGAAGCGUCUGUAACCUGAGGUACCACUGUAUUUCCUUUUCCUUUUCCUUUUCUCUCUCAGACUUCUCCCUCUGGCUUGAGAAACAAAUACACUUUUCAGGUUAGCCUUAUAACCACAAGGAUCAGAAACUGAGUGCCUCGUAACAAUUACCACAGGUGAUGUUCCUUGAGGUUGAAUGUGGCCUCUCAGCCUGACCCUCAGAACUCACUGCAUGAUGAACAAUCCUUUUACCAAAAGACAUACAAUGCUGUCCAGACACCACUUCUAUCACAGUGCAGAUACGAUUAUUACACCAGUGAAAAUCUCCCUACUUGUAGAGAAAUCCCUGUAGGUCAACUCCCGCAGAGUUCUUUGCAUCUCGGGUGUGAAGUGGCCUGCUGGAGCAGAGUGCUGCUGAGGCAAGUUAAGGUAUUCUGUUGUGAAGCCAGUGAGCUGUGGGCCUAAGGAUUUGUGCCAAUGAUCACACAGCCAAAGGCUGCUUUAUAUUUAGCUGCAUCCUGACCAUAUAGGCAAUGGCGUACCUAGGCAAUGUUUUAUAUUUAGUUGCAUCUAAAACGCAUUUGCAAAAUUACUCCAUGGGACGGAAUCCAGGGUUACAAAAAUUGCUUACUUAGGGUAGUUGUCAAGCUCAGCUGUGCUAAGGAAUGAGAAUACUAGCUUGCUCUCUCUCUCUAUAUAUAUAGAUAUAUAGGAGUGUGUGUGUGUGUGUGUGUGUGUGUACAUAUGAAUGUGUGUGUGUGUGUGUAUAAUUGAUGAGAACUCAUAAUAACCUAACAAGCAUUGUAACUGUUAAGUUGUGGGUGAACAUAUCAGACGACACAGCGAUUCUUCAAACAGCUCUUGUUUAUUCACAGGCCAGAACAGAACUAAACUGAAGAGUUCAGCCAGCCUGCUUAUAUAGAGCUCCACUAGAACGGAACAGUAACCAUUUUCUGUAACUAGCCAAUCACUGAACGUCACUUUCGAUCCCUGAUUUGCAUAUGUGGACCUGAACUAUCUACAGUAUCCCCCUGCUGGCCCAGGGUGAGAACUUCAGUACAUAACAGUAACUGAGUCUUUAUCAGCAUUGAGGGGCAAGGGGCAAGAACACAGAAGAUCACCUGGACUGAAUCAAGCAGCUUGUCCACUUCCUUGAGCCUUACUAACUGAAAUGCAUCCAACACAACAGGACUAGACACUUGAGAUCCAAAUGAUUCAACUGGAGUCAAGGUCCUGGUGGAUGCAGGCAAUUUUAUCUUCAGGUUGCUUUGCCAACAGGUCACAGUGAGCCAACUGUUGCCUCUCCCUUCUUCUUUGGAAUAGACUGCAAAAGGUCCCCUAUUACCUGGGGAAAUUCUGCUGGGUACCACAGUAAGGAUGCAGUGGAGGCAGCAAAGUAUUCCUUCUGUGGACUCUAAUGUUAGCAUUGGCCAUUGGUAUCUUUAGAUGGGUUUACAUCCCUGUAUUGCUUUGUGAGUCUUUCACAAACACUUGCAAUCUUUAUUUUACUCUGCUAGAAGUUGUUUGCUUAACGUUUGCUGGCGCUUGUGUGUUUUCCAUUCUGAAAAUUGCUGAC